CGAUGAUGCAUAGCCCGAGUUGAGAGACUGAUCGGCCACAUUGGGUACUGAGACACGGCCCAAACUCCUACGGGAGGGCAGCAGUAGGGAAUCUUCCACAAUGGACGAAGUACUGAUGGAGGCAGACGCCGCGUGAGUGAAGAAGGUUUUCGGAUCGUAAAGCUCUGUUGUUGGUGAAGAAGGAUAGAGGUAGUAACUGGCCCUUUAUUUGACGGUAAUCAACCAGAAAGUCACGGGCUAACUACGUGCCAGCAGCCGCGGUAAAU
rnacentral:rRNA from 1 species